GAGUGAUUUGCCUUUUGAAUCAUAGCCAUGAUAGAUAUCACUAAGGAUGAAAAGAUGAAAUGUAGGGAUUUUGGUUUUUGAUUGAUAAGAGAAAUGGUGAAGUUGAUUUGUUCAUUGUGAUUGAUGGAUUGUGGGAUGAGUCACUUUGCCUAAAAAAACUACUCACCUUACCAAAGAGCCCUCAUUACAACCCAAUGAAAGCCCUUUUUGAUCUCUAUUUAUAACACAUUGAAGCAUAGAGAGUUAGGACAAAUGGCAAGCCUAUGGUAGAUUGCAUGCAUUGUUUCGAAUUGAGUGUAAACACG
rnacentral:lncRNA from 1 species